UAUUCUUGGACAAGAAUAAAAUACUCAUUCCAAGUGAACUUCUUUUCUUUCUUUCAGUUAACGCUCCUCCGUUAUUAUACUUAAUCUGUUAUUAGUCCCUGUCAUAUCAUUUGCAUGAGUUUCUAUAAAUUCCAGCCUCUUCUUGCCACCACAAACUAGAACCUGUAGAACUCUCACAAGAAGACCAAGAAAAGUUGAGUUUUAUGGAAGGCAGUAUGUCUAAAAAGUUUCAGAAAUCUUAUUUUGAUGUGUUGGGCCUAUGCUGUUCAUCGGAAGUUCCUCUGAUAGAGAGGAUUCUGAGAUCAAUGGACGGAGUGAAAGAUUUUACUGUCAAUGUUCCGGCUAAAACAGUUAUCGUCGUCCAUGAUACUCUCUUGAUAUCUCAGUUGCAGAUAGGUAUUUCAUUAAUAUCCAGAAUCUCUGUCACUUGGAUAAAUAUUUUUUAAGAGAUUUUUAAAGGUUCAUGCAUAGUGUAUUGCCAAAGUUUAGUUGGCUGCUCCAUCCCGGAAGAGAAGUUUAAGGGAGAAGGCAAAAAAGGAGGAAAAUUUGUUGGGUUCUAACUUGUGCAUUGUACAGAAAUUAGGUUGAGCUUUUAUAUUUUUUGUAUAGGAGAUGAGAGGAUGGUGUCCAUGUGAGUAAUACAGGGCCGGGCGGGACAGGGAAAAGGCACCAUUUAUGAUAGAAAAAGAGGCUGAUGCAAAAUUAGAAUAUCAGUGAUGUUGAUUAUUAUUUGGUCCACUAGGUUGGUGCUAGUGUUUGCCAUAAUAAAUUCUCAUCAUUUAUAUAUUCGUAUGUAUCUAUGCGUGAAUAUAUGUACGUACGUAUAUGUACCAACCGAGUUGCCUACAUACGGUUGAUUACCUUUAUGUUACUUUUGUCCUUUCAUUCGGUUCAAGAAAUUGGCUAACAAGGAGAAAAUUGAGAAACCUUUUUUCAAGAUUAUGGCCAUAUUCAUGUAAUUAGUGUUUUGUUUGGCAAAAAG